rnacentral:rRNA from 1 species
GAUCCUGGCUCAGGAUGAACGCUAGCUACAGGCUUAACACAUGCAAGUCGGAGGGGCAGCAUGAACUUAGCUUGCUAAGUUUGAUGGCGACCGGCGCACGGGUGAGUAACACGUAUCCAACCUGCCGAUGACUCGGGGAUAGCCUUUCGAAAGAAAGAUUAAUACCCGAUGGCAUAGUUCUUCCGCAUGGUAGAACUAUUAAAGAAUUUCGGUCAUCGAUGGGGAUGCGUUCCAUUUAGGG